AAUCAGUGUUGUAAAGAAAGAAAAAGAUUUUCCACUCAAAGAAUUAUGGAUGACACAGAGGGUUCAGGAACCAUAAAUUUGAUGUUGGAGUCUUAACUUCACCCUGAUAGACUUUGAGCACGUCAUAAGUUUAAGACCUAUGGACAAAAAUCUUGCAAUGGGAAGAUAA